rnacentral:rRNA from 1 species
UAUUGGACAAUGGGCGCAAGCCUGAUCCAGCCAUGCCGCGUGAGUGAUGAAGGCCUUAGGGUUGUAAAGCUCUUUUAGCGGAGACGAUAAUGACGGUAUCCGCAGAAAAAGCCCCGGCCAACUUCGUGCCAGCAGCCGCGGUAAUACGAAGGGGGCUAGUGUUGCUCGGAAUCACUGGGCGUAAAGCGCACGUAGGUGGGUCGUUAAGUCGGGGGUGAAAUCCCGGAGCUCAACUCCGGAACUGCCUUCGAUACUGGCGACCUUCGAGUCCGGGAGAGGUGAGUGGAACUGCGAGUGUAGAGGUGAAAUUCGUAGAUAUUCGCAAGAACACCAGGGCGAAGGCGGCUCACGGCCAGGGUACGACACUGAGGUGCGA